rnacentral:rRNA from 1 species
UACGAAGGGUGCAAACGUUGCUCGGAAUCAUUGGGCGUAAAGCGCACGUAGGCGGCUUGCCAGGUCGGACGUGAAAUCCCUCAGCUCAACUGAGGACGUGCAUCCGAAACUGGCGAGCUUGAGUACUGAAGAGGAUCGCGGAAUUCCCGGUGUAGAGGUGAAAUUCGUAGAUAUCGGGAGGAACACCAGUGGCGAAGGCGGCGAUCUGGGCAGAUACUGACGCUGAGGUGCGAAAGCGUGGGGAGCAAACAGG